GCAAAUUUACCUGUGUGUCAUGAAGAGUUCCAGAAUGGUGACUACAGUGAGUCAGUUAUGAGAAUCUCUCUGCAGAAUUCACACACUCUUCAACCCGAACACACUCAUUUGUGCCUGGAUGAUCAACUGUGUUGGAGUACUCUCUUAUCGUUGAACUUACAGUCGUGAAAUUUUCGUUGUCGCUUUGACAAACACUUUGUUAAACCUGUUCUGUAUUUGGAUAUACAGCAACAAAAUAUCAAUGGAUUUUACUGAAGGAAGCAGAGGAAUCUACAGACCCAUCAGGGUGUUGUUUGACACACCCAUAUAUGAACGGGCUCUGCAGACCUGCUGGCAUGUUGGCUCUUAUAAGUCUCAGAUUGCACUGGUUGCUGAACUUCUGAGGCUCCAGCAGAAAUACCAGCUCUCAU